GCAGUCGUGGCCGAGUGGUUAAGGCGAUGCAUUCGAAAUCCAUUGGGGUCUCCCCGCACAGGUUCGAAUCCUGUCGGCUGCG
rnacentral:tRNA from 1 species